UAGGGAAUCUUCCGCAAUGGACGCAAGUCUGACGGAGCAACGCCGCGUGAGUGAAGAAGGAUUUCGGUUCGUAAAACUCUGUUGUUAGAGAAGAACAGCGCAUAGAGUAACUGUUAUGCGUGUGACGGUAUCUAACCAGAAAGCCGCGGCUAACUACGUGCCAGCAGCCGCGGUAAUACGUAGGUGGCAAGCGUUGUCCGGAUUUAUUGGGCGUAAAGCGAGCGCAGGCGGUCAAUUAAGUCUGAUGUGAAAGCCCCCGGCUCAACCGGGGAGGGUCAUUGGAAACUGGUUGACUUGAGUGCAGAAGAGGAGAGUGGAAUUCCAUGUGUAGCGGUGAAAUGCGUAGAUAUAUGGAGGAACACCGGUGGCGAAAGCGGCUCUCUGGUCUGUAACUGACGCUGAGGCUCGAAAGCGUGGGGAGCGAACAGG
rnacentral:rRNA from 1 species